rnacentral:rRNA from 1 species
GACGAACGCUGGCGGCGUGCCUAAUACAUGCAAGUUGAACGCUUCUUUCUUAUCGAACUUCGGUUCACCAAGAAAGAAGAGUAGCGAACGGGUGAGUAACACGUGGGUAACCUGCCCAUCAGCGGGGGAUAACACUUGGAAACAGGUGCUAAUACCGCAUAAUACUUUUUCUCUCAUGAGUGAAAGUUGAAAGGCGCUUUUGCGUCACUGAUGGAUGGACCCGCGGUGCAUUAGCUAGUUGGUAGGGUACCGGCCUACCAAGGCAACGAUGCAUAGCCGACCUGAGAGGGUGAUCGGCCACACUGGGACUGAGACACGGCCCAGACUCCUACGGGAGGCAGCAGUAGGGAAUCUUCGGCAAUGGACGAAAGUCUGACCGAGCAACGCCGCGUGAGUGAAGAAGGUUUUCGGAUCGUAAAACUCUGUUGUUAGAGAAGAACAAGGAUGAGAAGAGAAUGUUCAUCCCUUGACGGUAUCUAACCAGAAAGCCACGGCUAACUACGUGCCAGCCGCCGCCGUAA